rnacentral:rRNA from 1 species
UGCCAGCAGCCGCGGUAAUACGGAGGGUGCAAGCGUUGCUCGGAAUCACUGGGCGUAAAGCGUACGCAGGCGGCUCGUCAAGUCGGGUGUGAAAUCCCGGGGCUCAACCCCGGAACUGCAUUCGAAACUGGCGAGCUUGAGUACGGGAGAGGGAAGCGGAAUUCCUGGUGUAGAGGUGAAAUUCGUAGAUAUCAGGAGGAACACCUGCGGCGAAAGCGGCUUUCUGGCCCGAUACUGACGCUCAUGUACGAAAGCGUGGGGAGCAAACAGGAUUAGAUA